UUCCCGUAGUGACACUAUGGUAGGUGUUGUUUUUUAUGUAGGUUUUUCAAGAAACACUAGAUCUGUGCAGGCAGCAAGUAAUUCAGUGUGCUCCUUGGCGGCAGAAACAGGACCGUGUCGGGGGGCGUUUCCAAAGUAUUAUUAUGACUCCAGUUCUAAAUCUUGCAAAUCUUUCACGUAUGGAGGAUGUGAUGGAAAUGGCAACAGAUUUGACACCGAGGCCGAGUGUAUGGCGGCUUGUGGAGGUCAGUAGCAGGUCUUGGAAACGAAGAUCUCUAAAAGUGUGUGGAAUGAACAAUUGGACCCUUUAAUCUCAAGUUACUAAGUAAUUAAUUACAACGAGUUUAAAACCUUAGUCUGAUUUCUCAUCAAAUGACAACCAUUGGAAUAUGAUGUUGAUGAAUGCUGAGAUUUCGAUUAAGGAACCUAAUUACAGCUCACAUGAGACGAUUAAGGAUAUCUCUUUCUGAAUAUUUAUUGUAGUUUUGUGCUGAAGCACACAAAAGUUAUUAAAACUUAAUGUUCCCGAG